UACGGAGGGUGCAAGCGUUAAUCGGAAUUACUGGGCGUAAAGCGUGCGCAGGCGGUUUGUUAAGUCUGCUGUGAAAUCCCCGAGCUCAACUUGGGAAUUGCAGUGGAUACUGGCAAGCUGGAGUACGGUAGAGGAAGGUGGAAUUCCCGGUGUAGCAGUGAAAUGCGUAGAGAUCGGGAGGAACACCAGUGGCGAAGGCGGCCUUCUGGACCAGUACUGACGCUGAUGCACGAAAGCGUGGGGAGCAAACAGG
rnacentral:rRNA from 1 species